rnacentral:rRNA from 1 species
UACGUAGGGGGCAAGCGUUGUCCGGAAUCAUUGGGCGUAAAGAGCGUGUAGGCGGCCAGGUAGGUCUGCUGUGAAAACUCGAGGCUCAACCUCGAGACGUCGGCGGAAACCAUCUGGCUAGAGUCCGGAAGAGGAGAGUGGAAUUCCUGGUGUAGCGGUGAAAUGCGCAGAUAUCAGGAGAACACCCGUGGCGAAGGCGGUCUC